GUCACAGGUGGUGCGGCACACAUGCGGUGUGCAGCAUCGAAUGCGUAAUGUCUAAACACAGACGGUAAUAAG
rfam:Pseudomonas sp. StFLB209 DNA, complete genome.